GAGAAGAACGUAGCGAAAUGCGAUAAGUAAUGUGAAUUGCAGAAUUCAGUGAAUCAUCGAAUCUUUGAACGCACAUUGCGCCCGCUAGUAUUCUGGCGGGCAUGCCUGUCCGAGCGUCAUUUCAACCCUCAAGCCCCCGGGCUUGGUGUUGGGGAUCGGCGAGCCUCCGCGCCCGCCGUCCCCUAAAUCUAGUGGCGGUCUCGCUGUAGCUUCCUCUGCGUAGUAGCACACCUCGCACUGGGAAACAGCGCGGCCACGCCGUUAAACCCCCAACUUCUGAACGUUUGACCUCGGAUCAGGUAGGAAUACCCGCUGAACUUAAGCAUAUCAAUAAGCGGAGGA
rnacentral:misc_RNA from 1 species